rnacentral:rRNA from 1 species
AACGAACGCUGGCGGCAUGCCUAACACAUGCAAGUCGAACGAGACCUUCGGGUCUAGUGGCGCACGGGUGCGUAACGCGUGGGAACCUGCCCUUAGGUUCGGAAUAACUCCCCGAAAGGGGUGCUAAUACCGGAUAAUGUCUUCGGACCAAAGAUUUAUCGCCUUUGGAUGGGCCCGCGUUGGAUUAGCUAGUUGGUAGGGUAAAAGCCUACCAAGGCGACGAUCCAUAGCUGGUCUGAGAGGAUGAUCAGCCACACUGGGACUGAGACACGGCCCAGACUCCUACGGGAGGCAGCAGUGGGGAAUAUUGGACGAUGGGCGAAAGCCUGAUCCAGCAAUGCCGCGUGAGUGAUGAAGGCGUUAGGGUUGUAAAGCUCUUUUACCCGGGAUGAUAAUGACAGUACCGGGAGAAUAAGCUCCGGCUAACUACGUG